rnacentral:rRNA from 1 species
UUGUAUGUCACGAAGCUGACGAGUAGAGUUGCGUCGAAUUAACGAUGAAGGGCGUGCUAAUCUGCGAUAAGCGCCGGUAAGGUGAUAUGAACCGUUAUAACCGGCGAUACCCGAAUGGGGAAACCCAGUGUGACUCGUCACACUAUCAUUAACUGAAUCCAUAGGUUAA